rnacentral:lncRNA from 1 species
CCAAACCACUGGCCCAAAAAUUUAAACUUAGUUAUUAUUACUAGCGUGUAGAUCUAAUAUAUUCUAAUCAAAAUUAUUUUUUCAUCCGAUGUAGAAUUAUUGGGACGUUACAAAUUCUCCCUAUUUAGACACUAAUGUCAUCGUCAGGUCCAAACCAAGAUCACAGAUUUACACACCAGAAUUAUUAGACGAUGUGAGAUUCUAGACGUGGCUCCUACGAGUUCAAAAGGUGGCUCCCAUCAAAUUCGUUGGUGUACCACUUUGCCCCGUCACGCUUCCAGCUCGUAUUCGGCUCUGAUACCACAAUUUCUGUCAACAAUAACUCGUUGGCAACAAUAAUUCAUUGAACCCAAACCAUCGGCCCAAAAUGCUUAAAAUUAGUUUUUAUUACUAGCGUGUAGGCCUCAUAUAUCCUAAUCAGAAUCACUUUUGCCAUAUGAUGUAGGACUAUUAGAGGGUUAUAU